rnacentral:rRNA from 1 species
GACGAACGCUGGCGGCGUGCUUAACACAUGCAAGUCGAACGGAAAGGCCCUGCUUUUGUGGGGUGCUCGAGUGCGAACGGGUGAGUAACCCGUGAGUAACCUGCCCUUGACUUUGGGAUAACUUCAGGAAACUGGGGCUAAUACCGGAUAGGAGCUCCUGCUGCCUGGUGGGGGUUGGAAAGUUUCGGCGGUUGGGGAUGGACUCGCGGCUUAUCAGCUUGUUGGUGGGGUAGUGGCUUACCAAGGCUUUGACGGGUAGCCGGCCUGAGAGGGUGACCGGCCACAUUGGGACUGAGAUACGGCCCAGACUCCUACGGGAGGCAGCAGUGGGGAAUAUUGCACAAUGGGCGGAAGCCUGAUGCAGCAACGCCGCGUGCGGGAUGACGGCCUUCGGGUUGUAAACCGCUUUCGCCUGUGACGAAGCGUGAGUGACGGUAAUGGGUAAAGAAGCACCGGCUAACUACGUG